AAAACAUCUUUUCUUGUUUAUUAUUUGAAAUCUGACCUGCCCAAUGAUAAUAUUUAAUGGCCGCAGUAUUUUUGACUGUGCAAAGGUAGCAUAAUAAUUAGUUCAUUAAUUGUGAGCUUGUAUGAAUGGUUGGACGAAAUAUUAACUGUCUCAAUUUAUAUUAUUAUAAUUUAAAUUUUUAGUUAAAAUGCUUAAAUUUUUUUAAAGGACGAGAAGACCCUAUAGAUCUUUAAUAAUGUUUUAAUUAAUGUUUUUAGUUUAUUAUUUGUAAAUUAUAUCAUUUUUUUAGUUGGGGUGACAUUAAGAUAUAAAAAACUCUUUUUAUUUAUUUUCAAUUAUUUUUGUAUAUAUGACCUUUUAUUAAUGUUAAAAGAUUUAGAUACCUUAGGGAUAACAGCGUAAUUCUUUUUUAGAGUUCUUAUCGACAAGAGAGAUUGCGACCUCGAUGUUGGAUUAAGAUUUAUUUAUGGUGAAGGUGCUAAUAAUAUUAAGUCUGUUCGACUUUUAAAAUCUUACA
rnacentral:rRNA from 1 species